UGCUGAUUUACUUUCGCGGUU
ensembl:piRNA 21ur-4672 ncRNA